GACGAACGCUGGCGGCGUGCUUAACACAUGCAAGUCGAGCGAUGAAGUUCCUUCGGGAAUGGAUUAGCGGCGGACGGGUGAGUAACACGUGGGCAACCUGCCUCAUAGAGGGGAAUAGCCUUUCGAAAGGAAGAUUAAUACCGCAUAAGAUUGUAGUAUCGCAUGAUACAGCAAUUAAAGGAGUAAUCCGCUAUGAGAUGGACCCGCGUCGCAUUAGCUAGUUGGUGAGGGAACGGCUCACCAAGGCGACGAUGCGUAGCCGACCUGAGAGGGUGAUCGGCCACAUUGGGACUGAGACACGGCCCAGACUCCUACGGGAGGCAGCAGUGGGGAAUAUUGCACAAUGGGGGAAACCCUGAUGCAGCAACGCCGCGUGAGUGAUGACGGUCUUCGGAUUGUAAAACUCUGUCUUCAGGGACGAUAAUGACGGUACCUGAGGAGGAAGCCACGGCUAACUACGUGCCAGCAGCCGCGGUAA
rnacentral:rRNA from 1 species